rnacentral:rRNA from 1 species
UACAGAGGUCUCAAGCGUUGUUCGGAAUCACUGGGCGUAAAGGGUGCGUAGGUGGCGUGGCAAGUCAGAUGUGAAAGCCCGGGGCUCAACCCCGGAAUUGCAUCCGAUACUGCCGUGCUAGAGUACUGGAGGGGUGACUAGAAUUCUCGGUGUAGCAGUGAAAUGCGUAGAUAUCGAGAGGAAUACCAAAGGCGUAGGCAGGUCACUGGACAGUUACUGACACUGAGGCACGAAGGCCAGGGGAGCGAACGGG